rnacentral:rRNA from 1 species
UACGAAGGGGGCGAGCGUUGUUCGGAAUUACUGGGCGUAAAGGGCGCGUAGGCGGCCGAGCAAGUUAGAUGUGAAAGUCCUGGGCUUAACCUGGGGACUGCAUUUGAUACUGCUUGGCUUGAAUUCGGGAGAGGAUAGCGGAAUUCCAGGUGUAGCGGUGAAAUGCGUAGAUAUCUGGAGGAACACCGGUGGCGAAGGCGGCAUCCUGGACCGGCAUUGACGCUGAGGAGCGAAAGCCAGGGGAGCAAACGGG